UAUUUGCAUAAAAAGGUAAUUCUUAGAUGGGGCUAUUUUGGAUGAUAGCUCCCAAAUGAGAAAACAAGUGUGGUGGUUUCUUUCACAGUAAAAUGUUAUGGAAUAUCUACUCAAACAUGAACUAUUGUUUAGACAUGUUUGUGUAACUUUAAAUUUGAAUUUUGGAUUUGACUUGGAUCUUUAACAACGACAAUUUGACUUAGUCACACAUGAUGACAUGGCACCAUUAGUGUGAGGUUACUUUAGCCUGACACCCGGGGUGUUACACACCCGCCAGCCACCUGUGUGCGAAGCACGUCGGUAGAACCAGUCUCAUGAACGCAGUCAUGUAAUGUCGGUCCGGGCUACUUCAUCCAACAAUAGCACCGAAUCAAAGUAAGACGUUGCUGGUAACUAAUAU
rnacentral:lncRNA from 1 species